CCUACGGGGGGCUGCAGUGGGGAAUAUUGGACAAUGGGGGGAACCCUGAUCCAGCCAUGCCGCGUGUGUGAAGAAGGCCCUCGGGUUGUAAAGCACUUUCAGUGAGGAAGAACGCCUGGUGGUUAAUACCCAUCAGGAAAGACAUCACUCACAGAAGAAGCACCGGCUAACUCCGUGCCAGCAGCCGCGGUAAUACGGAGGGUGCGAGCGUUAAUCGGAAUUACUGGGCGUAAAGCGCGCGUAGGUGGCUUGAUAAGCCGGUUGCGAAAGCCCCGGGCUCAACCUGGGAACGGCAUCCGGAACUGUCAAGCUAGAGUGCAGGAGAGGAAGGUAGAAUUCCCGGUGUAGCGGUGAAAUGCGUAGAGAUCGGGAGGAAUACCAGUGGCGAAGGCGGCCUUCUGGACUGACACUGACACUGAGGUGCGAAAGCGUGGGUAGCAAACAGGAUUAGAUACCCUGGUAGUC
rnacentral:rRNA from 1 species